rnacentral:lncRNA from 1 species
CAACGGCAGACGGCAUGGAGUAGUUCGACCUGCUGGUUCAGCAGGUCAGAGCCCUCACCGAAGUGGUGCAGGCCAUGUAGCAGCAGCAGCAGUCGCAAGCAUCUGUGCGGCUGGAAAGAGUAUCGUCAGAGUUUCAGAAUCUGAUGAUCGGGCGGCCCACUUGGGCCAGUCACCCUGUGUUCUCCAGAAAGGAGAAGUAGAGGGUGGAGAGUCCUCUGUCUGAUC